UCCAAAACAGAUAAAAUAUACGUCUCCCAAAAUUACCACGUUAAAUCCAUCACCCACAGAAAGAUCGUCACCACCAUCCUGUUGCCGCUGAUCGCUUUCAGAUCGUGUUCGGAAGAAGAUCCUGAUGCAGAGCCUGUUGCAAUUAGAAGAGGCAGAAGAGCUUUGCAUAAGGAAAAUACUCCCUAUACUAGGGAUAAACCUCCACGCUUGAAGGAGAAAAUUAAGACGCAAGUCAAUCGCAUUUUGGUAGAGAAGAAAUAUCUGGAAUCGAAGAAUCCUAAGGAGGGUGCGAAAUACGUAUUACGAUCUGGGGUUCGAGAUGUCAUCAAAUAUGGAUGUGGCAAAGAGAAUAUUGAUCCAAAUUUCAUCAAAUCUGAGCUGGAAGCGAUGGAUAAUGUGAUCGAUGGUGACCAAAGUGGAGAAUUCGAGAUUUCUUAUCAAGCUACUGGGAAUAACAAAACUAUUAAUGAAUUGGUGGAGGAAAAAGGAUUUGUUCAGAUAUGGUAGACGGAUUUAAUUCUUUGAAAUCCAAGUGUGAUGAAGAUACAAAACUCAGUUGAUCUUUUUAUAAAUAAUAUGGGGCAGAUGAGACCUUCGAAGGUCUACGGUUUUUGGGAACAAAAGAGGAAGAAGGCGAGGGCAAAGGAGGUCUCGGUGUGGCUGAAGGUUUUCAUCAGACCCAGUUGAUGCAUGGACGAGGUGUGGGGUCACCCGCCUCAAUGGAGCCAUCAGCCGUAGAAGCAACUGAUGCUUGAAUAAUGGACCAUGAAAUUGAAAGUGAUUCUUAGCAACAUUAUUCUUUUAGAAUGUAUUAGUGUCUUUGUUAGAUUUUGAUGUUUUUUUUUUCCGAUUUGAAAUUUUUUAGUUUUAUUCUUUAGCAAUAAAUGUAAUUCUUAGCAGUUGU